rnacentral:rRNA from 1 species
UAGGCGCACGGGUGAGUAACACGUAGGUAAUGUACCUUUGGGUGGGGAAUAACUCAGGGAAACUUAAGCUAAUACCGCAUAAUGCGAUAACUUCUUCGGAAGAUUUUGUUAAAGAUUUAUCGCCUGAAGAGCAGCCUGCGGCAGAUUAGCUAGUUGGUAAGGUAACGGCUUACCAAGGCUACGAUCCGUAACCGGCCUGAGAGGGCGGUCGGUCACACUGACACUGACAUACGGGUCAG